UGAGGCUAUAAAAGCCUCGCCACCUGCUGCUGCGAGCCAAGCAGUGCGUCCAGUUGCCUCGAGAAACCAAUUCGCCGCCUCCAGUGGCCGCUCGCCGCGACAUGGACCCUGAGACCUGCCCCUGCCCUUCUGGUGGUUCUUGCACCUGCACGGACUCCUGCAAGUGCGAGGGAUGCAAAUGCACCUCCUGCAAGAAGAGCUGCUGCUCCUGCUGCCCCGCAGAGUGCGAGAAGUGCGCCAAGGACUGCGUGUGCAAAGGUGGAGAGGGGACGGAGGCUGAGGCUGAGAAGUGCAGCUGCUCCCAAUGAGGACGUGCCCCUCUGCGUGGAGUGAGUGUAAAUAGUGCGGCAUGGCCCCGUGCCACCUCUGGCCACAGUGGGGCACCGCUGGGCAUCUCCUAACCCUGCUGGUGGCGGGCAAGUGACAAUAAAUGCCAUGAACAGCA